rnacentral:rRNA from 2 species
AACGUAGGUACCGAGCGUUAUCCGGAUUUACUGGGCGUAAAGCGCGUUCAGGCGGUACGGCAAGUCGGGCAUGAAAUCUCUCGGCUCAACCGGGAGAGGUUGUCCGAUACUGCCGGACUAGAGGGCAGUAGAGGGUGGUGGAAUUCCGGGUGUAGUGGUGAAAUGCGUAGAGAUCCGGAGGAACACCAGUGGCGAAAGCGGCCACCUGGACUGCACCUGACGCUCAAACGCGAAAGCUAGGGGAGCGAACGGG